GCCUGUAUGUAAACAGCUCAGUUGGUAGAGCAUGACAUUCUUAAUCUCAGGGUUGUGGAUUCAAACUCUACCUCAGGCA